GCCCCAGUUAGCUUGGAGGGAGGGUAGCACGCCUUGUAAGCGCUAGAUCGCGGGUUCGAUUCCCGCCUGGGAUG
rfam:Asian citrus Psyllid, Diaphorina citri - Florida Strain, whole genome shotgun sequence.